UGGAGCCUACGGGGCGCAGCAGUGGGGAAUAUUGCACAAUGGGGGAAACCCUGAUGCAGCGACGCCGCGUGAGUGAAGAAGUAUUUCGGUACGUAAAGCUCUAUCAGCAGGGAAGAAAAUGACGGUACCUGACUAAGAAGCCCCGGCUAACUACGUGCCAGCAGCCGCGGUAAUACGUAGGGGGCAAGCGUUAUCCGGAUUUACUGGGUGUAACGGGAGCGUAGACGGCAGUGCAAGUCUGGAGUGAAAGGCGGGGGCCCAACCACGGGAC
rnacentral:rRNA from 1 species